GACGAACGCUGGCGGCGUGCUUAACACAUGCAAGUCGAACGAUGAUGCUCCAGCUUUGUUGGGGUGGAUUAGUGGCGAACGGGUGAGUAACACGUGAGUAACCUGCCCUCUUCUUUGGGAUAACGGUCGGAAACGGCUGCUAAUACUGGAUAUUCACUCAUUGGCGCAUGUUGGUGGGUGGAAAGGUUUUUUCUGGUGGGGGAUGGGCUCGCGGCCUAUCAGCUUGUUGGUGGGGUGAUGGCCUACCAAGGCUUUGACGGGUAACCGGCCUGAGAGGGUGACCGGUCACAUUGGGACUGAGAUACGGCCCAGACUCCUACGGGAGGCAGCAGUGGGGAAUUUUGCACAAUGGGCGCAAGCCUGAUGCAGCGACGCCGCGUGAGGGAUGAAGGCCUUCGGGUUGUAAACCUUUUUCGCUCAUGGUCAAGCCGCAGCUUUGGGUUGUGGUGAAGGUAGUGGGUAAAGAAGCGCCGGCUAACUACGUGCCAGCAGCCGCGGUAAUACGUAGGGCGCGAGCGUUGUCCGGAAUUAUUGGGCGUAAAGGGCUUGUAGGCGGUUGGCCGCGUCUGCCGUGAAAUCCUCUGGCUUAACUGGGGGCGUGCGGUGGGUACGGGUUGACUUGAGUGCGGUAGGGGAGACUGGAAUUCCUGGUGUAGCGGUGGAAUGCGCAGAUAUCAGGAGGAACACCGGUGGCGAAGGCGGGUCUCUGGGCCGUUACUGACGCUGAGGAGCGAAAGCGUGGGGAGCGAACAGG
rnacentral:rRNA from 1 species